CCAACUACCACCUAGUCUGUAAUUCUUUAUAACACCUUAACCUGUGACAUUGCAUAUCUUCCACAAACUUAGAUUGUCUCAAAGUCAAGUAGGAGUGCCGCAGAUGAUUAGCAAGUUUGUAUCUCUGGCCUGUCAUUGAAACUGUGAGCAAACAGCAUACUAUGUGAGUGAAUCAAAGACUGAUUAUAGCAUUAAAGGGACACUAUAGUCACGGGAACACAAGUUUAAAGGGACACUAUAGUCACCCAGACCACUUCAGCUCAAUGAAGUGGUCUGGGUGCCAGGUCCCUCAGGUUUUAACCCUUCAGAUGCAAACAUAGCAGUUUCAGAGAGACUGUUAUGUUUACAUUUGGGGUUAAUCCAGCCUCUAGUGGCUGUCUUCCGGACAGCCACUAGAGGCGCACCUGCGACGCUGGUGACACAUUUCGCCUCCAUUGCGAAGAGCGUCCAUAGGAAAGCAUUGAGAAAUGCUUUCCUAUGGACACUUUGAAUGCGCGCGUGGCACUUGCCGCGCAUGCGCAUUCGGCUCUGCUGACGUCGGGAGAGGGAGCUGACGUCGGCGGGGGAGGAGAGGUCACCAGCACCGGAGCCCGACACUGGAUUAAAGUAAGUAACUGAAGGGGUUUUAACCCCUUCAGGGCCACGGGAGUGGGACCCUGAGGGUGGGGGCACCCUCAGGGCACUAUAGUGUCAGGAAAACCGCUUUGUUUUCCUGACACUAUAGUGAUCCUUUCAUGCACUUAUUAAAUUUAUAUUAUCGUAAUAUCUUUAGAGUUGAUCCAUGUAAGAUAAUAUAUUAACUUUGUGUAAUCUCUCAAACAAUGUUUGUUUUGUCUAAUAUAGCAACACUCUUAAUAAAAAAAAAAAAUCUUAAAGGAACACUCCCACCACCAACCCAACAUAAUCUAAAUUAAGUUGUUAUUGUGUUCUGGUGAGUAUAGUCCUUCCCUGCAGGAUUUUUUUUUAUAUAAACACUAUCUUUUCAGAGAAAAGGAAGUGUUUAUAUUGCUAAUCCAAAGAACAAUAUUCCUGUG